rnacentral:rRNA from 1 species
UACGUAGGAGGCAAGCGUUGUCCGGAAUUACUGGGCGUAAAGCGCGUGUAGGUGGUGGGACAAGUCUGCUGUGAAAGCGCCUGGCUUAACCGGGCGAGGUCGGCGGAAACUGUCCGACUCGAGGACGGUAGAGGGGGGUGGAAUUCCCGGUGUAGUGGUGAAAUGCGUAGAGAUCGGGAGGAACACCUGUGGCGAAGGCGGCGACCUGGGCAGAUACUGACGCUGAGGUGCGAAAGCGUGGGGAGCAAACAGGG